UGUAAACGUCCGAGCGGCGCUCAGAGACGCCAGGUCGGAAUGGAAGCAUCUGGAAGGGUGUCGGGUCCCCUCCUGUCUCCAGGGAUGAAGGGAACAGGCACGCCUCCUCCUCCUCUGGAGAAGCAGCAUGUCCACCCUCACCACAAGCCCUACUCUCACUAUCACCACCAUCAGCCUGCCAACGACGAAUACCAAGGCAGCUUUCAGAGCUGCUUCCAUUUCGGAGACUCCUACAGGAUGGAGCAGACGGUCGGCGGUGUCCACGUCCCAGGAGAUUCUCACGCCUACACUUCCCAGCAGCACAAUGGCUUCCACAUGACAACUAGCAACACUGGCACUGCAGACUUCAACUUGACCCAGGAGCUUCAAGGAGGCACAGGGUGCCAGUUCUCCUCCAGCCCAGAGGAGAACAUUUUCUUCCAGGUGGGCAACUUCGACCGCAGCCUGAGCCACAUGUCCUCCGUCUACACAGAGACAUAG
rnacentral:lncRNA from 1 species